CAUGCAACUAAUACAGAUAAUGAGACAUGACAUUAUGGGACCUUGGAAGCCAAUCUGAAGCCAUGGAAUGUACCUUCAGAGAAGAAAGUACUUCCUCAAAAUGUCACUUGCAUACAGAACUGCCUUGAUGAUGAGGAGGACCAGGAGACCAAUCAGUGCCACAGCUGCCAGAGAUCCUCCUACGAUGGCUGCUAUGUUUGGCCCCUCAGGACAUUCUAACACAAGAAACGUAAAGCCGCCACAGACGACUUUACCAUUUCCCCCACAGUGAGGAUGGGGUUGUUUGGAAUCAUCACAUUCACACUCGC